rnacentral:lncRNA from 1 species
GAAUGUGUCUUCCUCCCUUCUCCCUAAACUGUCCGUGUGAAUGUGUCUUUGGAUGGAUCUCCCCCCUUGUUAUGGUGAAGGGUGGAUGUAUUUAUAGUCUAGGGAGAGGACCACCAUCUAAUUAAGGUGGUUUAUCAAAUGUCAAAGAUUAUUAAUUUGAUGUCAUAUAAAUAUAAUAAUAGUGGUGGGAUGUAACCAGACUUGGAAGUUGGCAUUUGGAAUUAGGAAAUAAUAUUUUUAAAUUUGUUGCAUUGUUGACAAAUAAGAGCAUGACUGUAAAUGUAUGAAGCAUGAUAAUUGGAGGAGGGUUGAAAAGAAAAGGUCAGUAUAGGCGCCCUAGGCCAAUCCUUGUCUCUUCGUCCCUCCGCCAUAGUGUAGUACUUUGAAGGGUAGAGCAACAACAAAAAUUUCUUAAUUAGUCACUUAUUUUAAUUGAUUCUCGUGACAAUUCUCCUGCUUUCAAUACAUUAUCAUGUAUUGAAUAUGGAAUUCUGUAACAUUUGUUGAGUUUGAAUGUUUCGACAGACCCCACAUAGAUGAUAGAGUUAUGCAGACUUCUAGUAGAAUUGCACUUGUACAUUUAGGUGAAAGUUCGAUCGAGUCAUGUAAAAUAGACGGGCGUAUAAA